rnacentral:rRNA from 1 species
AAUUAGUCCAACUAGGCAAAAAGAACUUUAGUCUAGCCUCCCGAACCUGGGCGAGCUACUUUAAGGCAGCUUUAUGAGCCAACCCGUCUCUGUUGCAAAAGAGUGGGACGAUCUUACAGUAGCGGUGACAGACCAAACGAGCCCAGUGAUAGCUGGUUGCUUUUUAAAGGGAUUUUAGUCCAACUUAAAGUUACUUUUAUAUACAAAAAUUUAUUACUUUAAGAUCACUCAAGUAAGGUUCAGCCUAUUUGAAAAAGGAUACAACCUCAACCACCGGGUAACUACGUCAUAAUAUGUUCAAGUAGGCUUAAAAGCAGCCAUCUUAACCAAAAGCGUCAAAGCUUAUACAUCUUUAGACAUAAUACCUCAAAUUUUUUAUAACCCUUCAUUUCUAAAAAGCAACUCUAUAUCUCUAUAGAAAAUUUUAUGUUAAAACUAGUAACAAGAAGCUCACCCUUCUCUUAAAUGUAAUUUUACAUCAGCAGGAUUAACCACUGAUAUUUAAC